UACGGAGGGUGCGAGCGUUGUCCGGAAUCAUUGGGCGUAAAGGGCGCGUAGGUGGCGGCUUAAGCGUGCGGUGAAAGCUCGGGGCUCAACCCCGAGUCGGCCGUGCGAACUGAGUCGCUUGAGCACUGUAGAGGCAGGCGGAAUUCCGGGUGUAGCGGUGGAAUGCGUAGAGAUCCGGAAGAACACCGGUGGCGAGGCGGCCUGCUGGGC
rnacentral:rRNA from 1 species